UACGAAGGGGGCUAGCGUUGCUCGGAAUCACUGGGCGUAAAGCGCACGUAGGCGGAUUGCUAAGUCAGGGGUGAAAUCCUGGAGCUCAACUCCAGAACUGCCUUUGAUACUGGCGAUCUCGAGUCCGGGAGAGGUGAGUGGAACUGCGAGUGUAGAGGUGAAAUUCGUAGAUAUUCGCAAGAACACCAGUGGCGAAGGCGGCUCACUGGUCCGGUACUGACGCUGAGGUGCGAAAGCGUGGGGAGCGAACAGG
rnacentral:rRNA from 1 species